CUACAUUACAAUACAACCACUAUGUUACAAUAUGAACAUCUCAACAGGACCUAUCUUCCCUACAGACCAACAUUAAAAUACAACCAACAUCCAAACAAUACAGUUGUAAACAUGUAAUAGGUUUUUGUUUCAUCACUGAUUCUACGUGUCAGUGUGAAUCAUGUCUCAUAUCUCCCCCCUUCAUAACAUUACAGUUGUAUAUCCAACAGGCUGUGUUUGUAGAUGGACUGAGGUAGGUAGAUUGUAUAGCUAAUAGGCUGUGUGUUUGUAGAUGGACUGAGGUAGGUAGAUUGUAUAGCUAACAGGCUGUGUGUUUAUAGAUGGACUGAGGUAGGUAGAUUGUAUAGCUAACAGGCUGUGUGUUUAUAGAUGGACUGAGGUAGGUAGAUUGUAUAGCUAACAGGC
ensembl:lncRNA